rnacentral:sRNA from 1 species
CCAAGGCCUAUUUCCUAAAGUAAAACUACAAAAAGGAGCCCAAAGUCAGAUUUUAAAAGAUGUUUUAGCGGAUUGCGCACGUAAUUAAAUAUUGAUCUUGAGACAUUCAAAUCCA